rnacentral:lncRNA from 1 species
UAUAUAUGAUCGAUAGACGACCGAUCACACGUACUCUCAUCAGAAAAUUAAAAGGUUUAAAAAGAAAAGGACAUGCAUAUACUACACAUGCAUGCACAAGCAGAUUAUGUGUAAUAACCUAACCCAUGCAUGCAUGCAGAUUAUGCAGAGCAACAACGAACGACGACAUACACACAUAUAUAGUAUGAGCGAUCAAAUUAGAGCAAAUCAUAAUGCUCAUGCAUUUUAAUAAAAUUAAGCGGGGCAGGUGAAGUCCGCGGGGCAGAUCUUGCCGCAGUGGUUGAGGAGGAGGGUCAGGUCGACGGGCACGUUGAGGUUGAUGCCCAGGAUGUUGGCCUUGAUGGCGGUGCAGAGGCAGACGGCGGCGUCUAGGUCCACCAGGCCUUCCAGCAGCGGACAGCACUGGUCGUUCUUCGGGGGGAUGCUGAGCUUCAGUAGGUUCAGCACGUUGGCACACACCUCCAGCUUCAGCGCGUUCAUCGGGCACGACCCGCCGCCACCGCCAGAAGGCGGCGAUGGUGGCGGCACCACCGGCGGAGUAGGACAGUACGGCGUGCAGCCAUGCACCAGGGCCAGGACAGUGGAGAGGAUGGUCAGGGCCAGGAACAGGGAAAUAAGCUUGGAUGCCAUUGCUACCGAUCAGAGAGCUAGCUAGUAGCUAUAGCUCUUCAAUCAAAGGGAUUAAGUGUUUCUUUUGAUCGAGCUAGGUGUGUGUUUGGGAUGGCUCUCUUCGGUGGUAUUUAUAGACCAAUUGAGCGAGCAAGUGUGUGGGCGUGCGUGUGAACAUGUGUGUAGUUUGAUAAGGGAGCAAGUGUACGUGUUUUGGAUGCAUGUGAUGUGUGAUGCGAACCCUACAUACGUGUCUACCUGGCUCCUUGCAUUUUUUCUGCAAAUUGCAUGCACGAUUAAUUCAUUAAUUAUAUAUAUGUACAGCUUUUAGCUAGCUGGAGACGACUGGAACAACAAGGAAUUGUUGCCUUAGCUUGUGUCCACUUUUCUUUUUUACAAUGAAAAAGGGCCAAAGUGCCUAAUGGCUAGAAAAAAAGGGAAUGUUGACAAAAGAAAACAUAGUGGGAGAGAUAAAAUAAGGAUAUCAAAGGGUGGAAGCCAAUGAGAGAUGAAUCAAAGAAAGCAAGUUGCCACUAAACAAAAGAAGCAAAUGAAAGUAUAGAGUGAACUAGAUCGAGGACUGCGCUCCUCCUCCCCCCGCUGACGGCCUCCCUGGCCAUCGCCGGUCUUCAACUCCGCUGUUGGUGGGCUCCUUAGCUUGUUCCCUGCUCCCGUUUCGCUCCAUGGCGGGGCUCCUCGCUUGGGGCGCAUCAUGGAGUCGAUUGCUCCCCUAAGGGGGAUGUGACUAGCUCUGGUUGCUCUGUUCACCAGACAUGUGAUCCUUGUUAUUGUGGUCUUCCUGUCGCUUACAAGGUGUGUUCUUGACUCUGCCCCUCGAAUGGAGUUCCCUAGCCUUUCUUUUGAUCCUAGUUUAAAGCUUCAAGAUGAAAUUUGGUAUAAACUUGGGGUUCAUGUCAUUCAUUAUGUGCUGGAUCACGCCUCCUUUCACCUUGUGGUCGCUUUUGGUCGUUGCAAGUUACAUCUUUUCGAAUAAUCUAUUAGGUCCUUGCUGCCGGUCGCCAUUGGUAGCAUCGCUAAGCAGUUCUGUGUGUCCCAACUUGGAGAUCGUACUUUCAAAUUUGUUGUCUCUACCAAAUUGGUUGGCUUCUUUAUCGCCAACCUUUGUUCCUUGACUCGUUCAAGGUCUUCUUCCUCUAGGCUAAUGGAGGUCCCAAUUGGUGCUUUGAGUACAAUCGUUUCUUACUCAAAGAAGCUAGUUUUUUAUCUUCUUCCUCCUCUAAAUCAGGGCGUAGAUCUUUUGUUGAUGUCGUUAAGUCAACAAUUCUCUUUGGUGCUAAUUAAUAUCGUUCCCAUGGGCUCUCACUGUCAUCCUGUCGUCCCUGCUUCUAGUGCCAACACCAUUCCCUUGGGCCUGCAUCAUCGCUCCUCCAUCUCGACAACAAGGCAAUCGGUGCAUGAUCGCCUUAUCUUCCAGAGGGUUGCCGCCCACUCCGCUUCGUUCAGUGAGUUCAACCCCUAGGCAAAACUCUGCAAUCGCUUCCUCUCCUCCUCUCAUUGGCAUGUCAACUGUACGGUGCCUAUCUGGUGCCGCGCUUGCCAAAAGCAAGGUCAAAUUGCCACCUUCUAUCAUUAAUUCAAAUCCCAUGCGAGAUAGUAGUAUCCUUCAAAGGCCAAUGAGGAAAAGACUGCUACUCAAGGACCUGCACUGCCUGGCCUCUUUUCCACUACUCAACCAUCCACGCUUGGCUCACUAGUCUUUAAAUAGUUUGGGGAGAUGGCUCGUGCUUUUGGGACCUGAGUUGGUUAUUGCACCUGAGUUAAUUGUGCCUUGGGGACUGUGCCUUGGGGCUUGAGGCCCAAUACUGUUUGUCAGCCCGAGUCAGACUCUACCUUAUAUGAUGAGUUGGACUCGAUCAUAGGCAACUCUCGAACUCUUCGUCUUCCUACUAUUCGCACCGGUGCAUGGCAACUGUGGUGAGCGAAGAAAGCCCUCCUCCUCCUCCUCCCCUCCUAGCAAUCCACCAGCUCAACUCUGUUGCUCCGAUGGUGUUUCAGCGUGUUGAUCUAGAGCCCUUCAUUCUAGAACACUUGCAGUACGAAGACAUCCCCAACAGAGAGUUUAUGGAGUAUGCAGUGGCCCCAGCCCAAAACCCUUUGUUGUUCCUUGCCAUUUUAAUUAAAUAAUUGUUUUGCUCAUAAUUGACUUGUUAAAUAAUAAAUAAAACUAGUUUAUUUAGUUAACCAAUUAGUAAAUGCAUGUGGUUAAGUCAUGUAAUGACCUUUGCUUACUCCCAUUGUUGAACUUGUGUAAUGGUUAGUUAAACAUCAUGUCUUACUUGACUAGUAUAAGAUAAUGAGUGUUGUUCUCAUAAUAUCCACCUAAUCAUCUUGUAUAUAUAAUUAUUAAAGAUGCUUUAAUUAUUAGUUUCUUAGUAUGAUCAUGAGUUAAGAUGCAUGUUAAUCUUGUAGGUCUAUGAUUAGUACUAACUUGUGGUUAAUAAUUAGAAUACUUUGUGAAGUGUGACUUUAGUUAUACUGCUAAGGAAAGUUGUACUCAACUGUCUUAGCUUGUUUACUUUAUGUAAUGUACUUGUACGUCUUCCAUCAUGCAUCAUGGCAUACAUUCCAUCAUGUUAAAUAAGCAUCAUUUAUUUAUGUGUAGUACAUACGAGAGUGAGAAGAUUCAUGUUGAUCAAGUUUUGGAGAAGGUUCAUCCACCAAUGGUGUUGGUACCAAAUGCCACCUGGACAUGUCAUCUUGGCAAUUAGUGCAAUUAUUUUGGUCUUGAAAUGUGAUCUGGACAUGUUAUAUUGGCAUAUAUACAUGUAUAGUGUCAUUAUUUUGGUCUUGAGAUAUGAUCUGGACUUGUCAUAUUGGCAUAUAGUGUCGUUAUUUUGGUCUAAUGUGAUUUGCGCAUGUAAACCAUUCUAGAUGUGAUCAGGGCAUGUGAACCAUUCUAUGUAUAUAUAUGAUGCUUAAAUAUGACUCUGACCUCUAAUCUAUUGCUUCCUACAGGAUGCAUGCUUGCAAAAUGUGCUCCAAAUCAUUACAAAAUAGAUUAUGUCAUUUUGUCGUUUCAAAAUGUAUCUUCCCAUUAAUCAUGUCCAUAUAUAUAAAAGACUACUGGAUUGUAGUGUCAUUCAUACCAAGGGAAAAUAUGUCUUACACUCAUACACACACCGUUAGUCUCAGUUAACAGAAUGGGGUACAGACUCAAAAAAAUGUGGGCAAACGUACAAAGUCCGAAAAAGAGGGACAAAUGAGCAGUUAGAUGUCAAACUGAGGACAGAAAUGCAAUUCGCCCAUAUAAUUAACUUGUAUAUAACCAACUAAAUUUUCAAAUAUCAUAAUAAGCGCAUACGAGUUCAGGUUCAAGAUGCCAUAUGAAGAUAUUGAUCUGAUUUAAUUCUGCGAUCUAAAUUCGAAAAACUGCUACGAACUAGCCCAAUUUCUUAUUCGAAUUUAUUUUCUACCAGGCGAGGCGCGCGUUAGCUGACUGUUCAGUACUGAAGCUUUACCGGGAAACGAGGGUUUAUGAACUGACCAAAGCUGAUGUAUGAACUAGUUCUUCUCAUGUCGACCUAGACCAUCCAUCAUGCCUUCGUUUCGUCCCGGUCCUAGCUGUCGAACUCCGCGUCACGGACCUCGAGAAGGUAUUCUGGGAGGAGGACGUGCAAUAUACAUUAGCAACACCAACCAAUCUAAAUCAUGAGGAUGUUUUAGCUUGGCAUUUUGACAAUAAAGCUCCACUGCCUGGACAGCUCGAGAUCAAUUCAGAUGGAUCAUUUAUCUAGGAGACGUUGCAAGGGAGCUGGGGGCUUCAUUAUCCGUGACCAUGAGGGCGACGGGGUACUUGCAGGAGCUGGUCGCCCUGGAUCAAUCCCAGAUGCGUGGACAGCAGAGGCAGCAGUAUGUGCUCAGGCAUUGCAAGCAGCUACAGAUUAUGGUAUAUCGCACGUAUAAGUAGAGGUGGACUCAGCAACGAGAUGACUGACGGAUCGUACGCCAACGAGAGUGGAGCGUCAGCAUCUUCACACAAGGCGAACUGGCGAAGGUAAACCAAUGGAGGUCACCAAUGGCGGCUGCGUUCUUGGCCCUUUUUUUCUUUAUGGAAAAAAUUAGCCCCAGCUAUAUAUAUGUUGAAUGGUCUCUUGGGCUGUAGCUCCGGACGCCACGCACACGUCUAGCCCAUCUGAACAAAUUCUUGUAGCUCUCGAUCGGCCCAAAUAUAACUAUCUUCCACAAAUGAUGCGUAAAGAUGAUCCCAUCUCGAUACAUGCCUUCAAAGCAAACAAGCAACCGUAAAAUGCGAAGAAUUGCUUUGACCAUCCGCAAGAGAUCCAUGUUCCGUCCUAGUGUACAAUGCAAAAAAAGAAAAAAAAUGUUAGUAUUAGUAUAUGCUCGUUGAACAGAACCUGCAACAAAGCGGCUUUUUUUUUUAGAGUUCAAGGCCAUAUAAGCCCCGGCCUUUCGAUUAGAAUAAAAAAACCUAGAGUCAUUACAGCACUGAGUUUAAACCGUAGUGAUCAUCCACCAGGACUAGAUCACUGAAAACAAGAACAAACUACAAAUCCAACAAAAAAAAUAACUAAAACAAAACAGCUGGUGUAACAGCAGCCGAUCUUCAGGCAAGGUUGAGAGAUAUGUUCAGCGAGCUCCACCAAGGAAGUUUUAGAUUGCCCAUCAGGUCUUCAUGUUCCUGAUCACCCUAGGUCACUCCUCUAUGAAACUUGUGAUGUUUAGUCACCCAUAAGGAAGCUACAUAGUAUUGCUCACCUUUGCUUUGAUCUCUCUUGUCGGGGGGCAGAGAAUUCGCCAAUUUAGUAGGAGCAUUUACAUGCUUCUCCAACUAAUUUUCUUAAAACAAAGAUAAUUUCUAAGUUUCCAGAUACACCAGAUCACAGCAUAGAUGAUUGUAUUGACAAGGCAGUGUUUUUUAUUACUUAGACAGAACUUCCCUAUUUCCAUGAUAUUAUCUCCUACUUUACAACCAAGAAUGUUUACAUAAGAUCCCAACACCACCUUGCCACUACACAAUCAAAGAAAACAUGUUGUAUUGUUUCCUUUUCCAGACAAAAAAGACAAUUCUCAUCUUCUACUUUUCUUCUCUUAGCUAGGUUAUCCCUAGUCAAAGCUCUUAAUAACCAACCAAAGGAAAAAAAAAGGACUCUAGGAGGGAUUUUGGCACCAAAUAGCCGACUACUGGAACAAACCCUCUAAAAUUGAUUAUCUUAUAUAUUACCAAACCAUCUCAUCAGCCUCAUUAGAAAACUGCAUUGUAGCUACUAAUGAUGAUAUCGAGCCAAAGAUUAAUAGAGAUCAAGAGAAAACGCUCUUUCUAAAAGUACAUUUCAGAUUAACCCAUACCAAAGGUUAACUAGAGUUUUCCCUUUCUCAUUAACUAUCCUAUAUAGCGGUCAAAAUUGGAUAGCUAAGCUAGACGAACCUAGCCAAUUGUCCUCCUAGAACCUAAUAUUCCAGCCAUUCCCUACUUUCCACUUGUAACCCAUCUCGGCAACUUGAGUUGCAUACAUAAAUCCUUUAAAAAACUAGAAGCCCCACAGCUCUAGUUGAGAAGAUGUUAGGAUUUUCAAUCCCAUACUUAUGGUCUAUCAGCUCUUUCUAGAGCUUAUCUCUAUUUACCUGAUACCUCUUCAACCACUAUGCCAGAAAUGCUAAUUAGUGGCGCGUCCAGAGGAUCAUUAGUGACGCUGAAAAAACACGUCACUUUUGUUACGUCUCUGAUGUGAAGACAUUAGUGACGUGUAAAAACAUGUCACUGAUGUGAACAAACAACGACACGUAUUGAGAAAACAUGUCACUGAUGUGAAAUAGCUGUGAUGUGACGCGUAUUUAAAAACGCAUCACUGGUAUGAAAUAGUUGUGACGCAUAUUGAGAAAAAAUGUCACUGAUGCGAAAUAGUUGCGACGUGUACUGAGAAAACUGGUCACUGAUGACCCUACAUUAAUGACGCGUAUAGCUAAAACGCGUCUCUGAUAAAGAUUUGCAAAAACAAAAAAAAGAUACCUAGAUCAGUGUACAGUUCUGAAACCUAUGUUUCACAAUAUGGUAUAUUUCAUAGCAGUACAUAGAUUUCACACUUCACAAUAAGUUCUCACGAUCAGAAUACAUAGGGAGGCGACCACGAGCGCGAUGAGCAUCGUGGAUGGGGAAGGAGGUGGCCACGGGCGGAGCAUAGUCAGGAGAGAGAUGGUUCUGGAUGGAGGAUCGGGAGGAGACAGCGCUAGUCAGAUCUAGACGAGGGAGACAGAGUCGGCUACAUCUAGGAUGAGGAGCGGCGGCGGAGGAGAUGAGAUCAAGAGAGAGAGAGAGAGAGAGGAAGUGAGAGAGACCCGGGACUGGGAGAGGAGAGAGGUUCGGGGCCCUGGGUGGGUGUGGACGUGAGUUUAUUCAGGCCCUAGAGAAGACGAGAUCACGAGAUCACGAGAGAGAGAGAGAGAGAGAGAGAGAGAGGAAGAUCACCUCAAGAUCAAAAAAAUUUCAAGAUUUCUCGUUACAUUGAAUCUUGCAGUAUAUGUAUGGAAUAUUAAUAUAGAUAAAAAAUAACUAAUUGCACAGUUUGUGUGUAAUUUGCGAGACUAAUCUUUUGAACCUAGUUAGUCCAUGGUUGAACAAUAAUUGCCAAAUAAAACAAAAGUGCUACAAUACCCAAAAAAAUUUCACCUCCUCAACUAAACAAGGCCUCACCUAAUUUUAUAAUUUUUUUAGGUCCAAGGUCCUAUAUCAGUGCGGGGGUUUUGGUUGUUUUCAUUUUUCAUGUCCGGAGGACGUGCGCAGGCAACGAUUCCCUAGCCAAACAACUAAUCGUCUUGUUAAUUUUCUGGCCAGGUAAUCAGUGCACGGCUCAAUAUGAAGAGUCAUACCACAAUAUGAUUAACGCGCGUGGACAUUACGUGUCACUUUUAAUACUAGUGACGUGUUUUGUUGGGACGAGUCACUAAUAUCUCUCAUUAUUAGUGACGCGUCUACGUAAAACUCGUCACUUUUGCUACCAGUGACACGUUUUGUUGGGAAGAGUCACUAAUACAACCACAUAUUUGUGACGCGCUUAGUUAAAACGCGUCACUUCUGACGCGUUUUCUUGAGAAAAGUCACGGAUACCUUCUCGUUAGUGACGCGUCUUGUUCCUAGGACAUGGGCAAAAACUUAGCAGCGACGCGCUUCGUUCAGCUGCGUCACUAAUAUACUUAUUAGUGACGUGUUUUAGUCCUGAGUCACUAUUGAGGUGUCUCCUUUGUGCUUAGUGAACCAAGAAGCUAACAAACUAAUGUUAAGAUCUCUAAGGUUAGGUAGGCCCAAACCCCCCUCUCUUUACUCAUAGACACUAGCUCCCAAUUAGCUAGGUGAUACUUAUGAUUAUCCACAGAAUCAUUCCAGAGGUAGUUUCUCAUAUGAGUAUCAAUGAACUUGAUUGCCCAUUUGGGGAAUUUGAUAAAGGAUAGAAGGUAGACAGGAAUACUUGCUAAGCAUGACUUGAUUAACAUAGCUCUAGCAGCUAAGGAAAUAAGUCUCCCCAUCCACCCUGCUAUCUUCUUUAGAAUCUUGUCUACCAAAGGUUGGACAUCUUCUCUACUCAGAUUGUCAUAAUGUAGGGGUAAACCUAGAUACUUAAUCGUGAAGGAUCCUAGAGGGCAAGAGAAAAAAUGUGCUAGUCUAUGAGCUUCACUGUCCUCCAAAUUUAAAGGCACUAGCUCACUUUUAUGAAAGUUGAUUCUCAUACCAGAAAUCUGUUCAUAGCAUAUUAAAACACACUUCAAAUUUCUUAAGGCUGAAUCCCCGGUCUUAUAAAACACAAUAGUGUCAUCAAAACUACUACACCACCGGGUCUGAAAUCCUCUAAGAGACCUCUCACAAGAUUUUUUACCUAUUUCCUUACUUAACAUCUUUGACAACCCAUCUCCAACUAGAUUAAAUAAGAAAGGAGAUAGGGGAUCUCCUCGUCUAAGACCUUUGCCAGUCUUGAAAUAAGAAUUGUCUUCCGCAAUUAUCAUGAUCCCAAUAGAACCCCUACAACAAUCUGCCUAAUCCAGUUAGGGGAUGCUUAGUUCCCCAUAAAAUGCAAAAUGCAAAAUCCUGAAACUUGAAUGGUGGAAUACAAAAUGCCAAAAUUUUUCAGGGGGUGUUUAGUUCCAUCCAUACCAAAAUGCCAAAAAGUAAAAAGCUUGUUUUGUCCUCAUUAAUUGGCACCCAUGCAUUGCAUGCAAACAUGCUGCACGCGCUGCAUGCUGGCAGAAGCUUUGCAGCAAACAAUACAAGCGUUGUCUGCUGCUUGCUCGCGAUUGUGCAACCGGAAGUGAACAAGCACGGGCGGGUGCAGGUGGGGUAGCGAAGGAGCUGCUUUCUGGCCUUUUUUGGGCUGCUGAGGCCAAAAUCCAGAAUGCAAAAUGGUUGCCAUUUUGCCAAAUUUUUUGAGUGGUGUUUAGUUCUAUUAUGGAAAAUAGUGGGCCAAAAUCCAGAAAUUUUUGGCCCAAAUGGGGAACUAAACACCCCCUUAAUCAAUUUAGCAUCAAAGUUCCUAGACUAACAUCUCAAACAAAAAAAAAGUCCAGCUCACCCUAUCAUAUGCCUUUUCAUAAUCUAAUUUGAGAACAACUCCUUUCUCUCGAGAUUUAUUGACACUAUGAACAAUUUCAUGUGCUACAACUACGCUUUCAAGAAUAUAUCUACCUUUAAUGAAGGCAGAUUGAGUCGUAGCCACCAUUCUUUGAACUAAACUGGUCAGCCUAAGGGUGAGAAUUUUUGAGAAAAAUUGAAAGCAGCCUCACUUUAACCUUCCAUGGUAACACAUGGACGACAGAACCAAGCUUAACCGGUAGAAGAGGGUUUCUUUACCAAGGAAGCAACUCAAAAGUCUGAACCGAAUCGAUUUUCACAAUUUCACUGCAAGAACUUCAGUUAAACGUCUCGACUUUACAUAACCCAGCAAGUGGGCCAUCAUCUCAGGGCACCUGGAUGAAUAGAUGGAUGGAUCCAUGGAUAUAUAUAUAUGUCUGCCGCACUUUAUACAUAUAUAUAAAGUUGGUCACUUCCUAGCAGCUACCUAGUUUCCAAAAUCAUCUCAGCAGCCACCAGCAACUUAAGGAUAGUCAUCUACCUUCUACUACUUAUAUAUACACAGCGCGCUUUCGUCAUCAUACUGUAUGCUAUGGAUCUCCAUCCGCGGGUUUCUCCUCCAGCAGCUUGGUGCUGCAGGAAUGCCCUUUGCUGCGGUUCAGUAUCGAUUCUCUAAUCUCUUUGUACUUGUUCAGCUCCUCCAGCGCAUCCGCCGCUGUCCUUGACCUCAGAAGAACGGAAGGCACCCCUGUAGAGCUUGAUGCACUGCUGCCAUGUUCCUCGGUCACUACCCUCUGGAGUGAAGGUUCUUGAGGAACCGGGGCACUAGGGCCUGGCAGUAGUAGCCUUUCCCUGAGGCCAGGGGCAUUCUGUAGGAUGCGCAUAAGAAUACCAAUUGCUGCAUCUGGAGACCUCGUUAAUGAGCCUCCUUCCUGAGAUGGUCCUUGGUCAUCCCUGUCAGAUAUGUCGAUCCUGGAAAAUAGAUGAAGCUCUACAUUAGCUUAUGUCAAAUCAAGAAGUGCAUGCAAAUUAACAAGCACCAAAAAAGUAAAAUGUCAAGAAGAGGUUGCAAAACUGAGGUUGCAAAACUAUUAGAAAUGUUUUGACUGAUCCCACUGUGACCUCACCCAAGAAUAUAAUGGCAAGUGCCUUCAAAAAAAAGAAUAUAAUGGCAAGUCCUGCACAGUCACUAUAUCUAUCCUUGUUAAGGGAUAAACCUGUUAGUGACAAGACUGACCACUAAGCCCCUUAUAUUUAUCUUUAUUAGAUUAACAUGAGACUCCAAUUAUGUCCAUAACUUUAGACCUCAGUAUGACAGGAUUAACCUGUGAUAAUAGAAUACGCUGUACAUUCUACAACCCUCUUGCUUAACUAAACAUCUUAAUUGCUGCUACUAGUAGUUAAUGUAUAGUAAUAUAAGAAACAAUAAGGGAUGUUUAUCUUGCACAAAAGAAACGCUAACUUUAGAUAAAUUAGCCCACUGCCUGCAAUUUGACCCACAAAUUUACAUUCAUAGUCACAGACCAAAAAUUAUAAGGAAUAUUAGGAAAGCUGCAAAGUGGCCACCAUGUGGCUGUGGUAGAAAUGAUAUCUAGCCCCUGUAUUGUGUAGUUCGAAAAAAAAAGGAUACUAAGAUUUUCAACUGUCAUUUCUAAUUUGUAAAUAACAAAGAGGCAGUAAGACUUCAGUCUGGAGCAUGCAAAUGACAUGGGUACUACAAGUCUAAAACUUCAGUCUGUAGUUUUUAAAUGACACAGGGGCACUAAGGCUUGAGUUUGUAGUUUGUAAAUGACACAAGGGUACUACUAAUAACUCUUCUGUGUAGUUUGUACUUUGUAUAAAUACCAUAGGACUACACAAGCAGUACAAGACUUUUUAGCCAAUAGGUUUAUCCACAAAUUCCCGUAUUACUUUAUCUACAAAACAUUGUUAUAGAAGGUGGCCAACACCCAGCUAACCUGCUUAGCACCCGCAAGCACAAUACCGUACUUUCCUCGUAGCCAACGUAGGUGCCCACUUUGCAGCAACUAGGCGUGCCCUAUCACCUACCACUGGUACUGAACUAUUGAACAUUUUCAUUUUUGUGGAUGUAAGUAACGGCAUGCAUGAUAUUUCUACUAAGAGAGCAUGUCUAGAUGUUGGAUGGUAAAUCCUAGUGACUAGUGAACAUCACUAAUUUCUUCCUAAAACUGCCUUGUUCCCCACUGGUACAACUGAUGCAUAGGCAAUACCAAAUUUAAGCAAAGAAAAGCCAGAUUCAAACCAAGGCUGAAACAGAGAUCAGCAGUAUAUAACCAGACUUGUUUUACUGGGAGUCUGGGACUGGGUUCUCCAUUUCCAGGGCUUGCUCUAUACCUGAACCUCAUAAUGCCUAACCCAUAUACACUUUUGUGUUCAGAACCAAGCUAACGACACCCAAAAGUACAUUGGUUUUUCCCAAAAGCUAUACAAGCUACCAACAAAUGUUUUUGUCUAUCCUCUGCCCUCCUGGAUGUCUAAGGGGUUCAGCUCCUCCCAUGUCCCAUGUAAUGUUUCUCACACGACACCCAAGCCUCUCCAGUCUCCAUGUUUUAGAAAUGUUUCUCAAUACAUUAAAAGAAUAUAUGGCAUAUUUCAUGCCUCUAUGUUUGCAAGGUCACACUUAAUCUAAAUGAUGAAAAGUAUUGCCGGAAAAAUUUAAUGCAACACAUAGUAAGCCCCAUCAGUCAACACAACAGAGACAACUGAGCAAGCACAAAAACUAAGGAACCACAGAAAGUAAUAGAAUAAAGGGAGAAAAGGUGAUAUCAUUACAUCUCCAGUAGGUGCUUCAUUUGAAGAACUGGACAACAACACUCUUUAUUUAUCUAGUAGAAGAGGAUGGUUUCAUUUGAAAUAAGGGCAAAACCCAAUCAUCAAAUGUCUAGUGAUAUAGAAAUGUCUGAACUAUAAAUGUUGCAGGCAACCAACAAGCUAACUUGAUAAUAGAGAGAAUAAUAGGUUCUCAAAAGUAAAUCACUCCAACAUAAAACCAUGAUUAGAAAAUGAAAUGCUUAUAAACAGAAACAAUAAUUAAAUCUAACCUAAUGUAUUCUUAACUAGUAUGAUGCACAGAACUAUUCUGACUCAUAAUAUAUAUAGAUACACCUAAUAGGCUAAUACAUAUGUUGCUUCCAACACCCAAACGAAUUCUGCAAAUAGACAAUGGUGCCCUUUUAGUGGGAAAAAAUACUUAUAGAAAGGGAAAAUUUGAUAACUGGACCAAAUACAAAAGCAGAUGGAUCUGAAUGAUCACUGAAACUACACUACAGUAUAGGCAAAAAGGUAGAGAAGCCCAAUCAAGCGACCUGAACUAAUUAAGAUGUUUCUUGUCAUCCCAAUGAAUGCCCUGCUUUCAAUUUAUCAUCUCAAGAAACUAAAACACAAAAAAUGCCAUUGCUCUAUAUCUGCUAGAUGAAAAUAAUCCAGUUUCCCCUAUAGAAAUGUAAAAUCCUAUAACAUGUUAUAUAAAUAUGAAGACUUCUGCUAACAUUAUUGCUUCAAAGGCCUUCUGAAAGCAAAGAUGGUUCAUGACAAAAUUACCUAAGCUAUGUACAUCAGUGGCCACCUGGUGAAUACAAUAACCAAUGUCAUAGCAUUCCCAGAGUAAAAGUAGUGUUAUGACCUACUAAACAAAAAUAUAUGACCUACUAACCAAAAAUAUAAGUUUUCAAACUUUAUCAGACACCUAGGUCAUUUAUUUACACAGAAAAAGCACAUGCAUUCAUGAGGAUAUGAAUGUAAGGGGAUCAAACAUAAACCAAAUGCAAUACAACAGCAGAACAGCAAUUGAAGUGAUGGGUAGCUACUAGGUUAGUCCUUUUGACCAAGGCAUCAUGGCAUAAUGUCAUGAACUACACAUAUUUUCAUCAAGUGAGACAGAAAAGAGAACCUUCUAAGCUGAUCAAUGAUGGUGUCUUUAUCUUCCCAUGCAAAAACUAACUCCCGUUCAUCCAGUUCAUCCAUGAUGAAAAGUUUACUGGAGGUACGAGUCAACUUUAGCCCACGAAAAUACACCAAAUCAUCAUUGCCAAAAGAUAAAACCUGCAGCAAGAAGCAGAACCAGAAAUUCAUAAGUCAGAAAUGAGAUCCAACCAUCCAAGAGAAGAACCUCAUAGUAAAAGAAAGAAUAGUAUUCCUCAAGGUUCACAUUUUGCUGGAGAAGAUCAACAAACAAACAUGUAAUUACCUUUUGCAAAGACUUCUCAUUCUGAAACUCACUAAGCUUGACCAAAUCCUUUGAUACUAUUGAUUUAUCAUUUGGAGAAUGUGUCAGAUUCUCAUUUUGAGAUGAGCAUUGUUGCUUAUCCUUCCUACGUGGAGAAGGAGGCAGCCUGCUACCACCUCCACCAGCCAUCGCUGUGGGAAUACUUAAAGGAGCACUCUCAUAUCGGAAGAAAGGAUUUCUUGGGUAGCUAGAAGGCGAAUGGGAUGGUGAUGGCGACAGAGGUGGUGAUGGAUAGCACUCUUCAUUUACUGUAUUUCUCUUCUUCCCAGACGAUGAUGUGUUAUGUGGAUGUGAGUAUGCUGUCGGAGAAUUAUCGGUCGGCAUACGUGGCUCUAGGCGUCCAUGGGGUUCUGAACUCAUCGGAAAUGGCGAUACCGAUGUUCUAACUCCAUGCCCGGUGCUCCAACUGUGCCGCCUGGUCACUGGAAAACAUGCAGGUGCAAUGCCAUCUGAAGGCAGGGAAUCGAGCUUCCUAAGAAAAUCUGUUGUGGGGCUUCCAACAUAAUCCUUUAUAAGCUCAGGUGGCACCGGUGUGGGUUGCUCUGGUACUGCAGCCAACUCCAGCACUGGCACAUACGAAACAGACAAGCUUAAGGAACCAAACAGAGUUUCAAUCGGAGCAAAUGCAUAGUGUUUCAUCUCUGCAUCCUCAGCGCGGGUGAAUGGCUCAACAAAUGAUGAAAUCUUGUGCGAGAGGCUCAGCGGACAGAUCCUUCCAGACGAAUUGAGCCCCUGGAAGAGAUGGUAUGCUGGCAAGAGCCUGACAACCAGGUACAAUGACCGGAACAACACUGUGGAGCCGCUGUAUGCCCUCCUGUACAAGCUAUGAUCCUGAGAAGAGCUGCUUCUAGCUUUCUUGCCACUGUUCUUGAUAGCAUUGCCAGACCUGCUAGUUUCAUACUUUAUUACCCACCUCUCAAUGAUCCUGCUGGCCCCGACACUGGCGGUUCUGGUAUUGUCACGUUGCACAAGGACAAUGUCAAUGACCAGAAGCUCGAGGUUGCUCUGCCUCCACAGGUCGAAAUUCUCGAGCGCAGCAGGGCAGUCCCGGAGAGCAAGGUUGAACCACCGGUCCCGCGGCUGGCUUCCAGCCAGCGGCGACGAUGGCGGGGAGGGCCGAGUGAAGUUCCGCGACGAAUCAUAGGGCGAGCGUGACUCCAGGAUGAUGUGCAGGCUCUUGGCGAAGAAUUCGGUGAUCACUUGCUCCACCAUCGGCGGUUCCGACACGCCGCCAGCAGCGGCGGCGGCGGCGGCAGCCAUGGCUGUGUGGCUGUCCAGACUUAAAACUCAAGGGCUCAAUUGAAGUCCCAAAACUCCUGAAAAACGAACUGCGCCAGCACCAUGGCUAAAUCGAUCUUGCUCCUCAACCGUAAAGAACAACCUAAUCGGGCUGCUGCAAGUGGAUGGAUGGACUGAAUCAGUAGCAGGGGCGGACCCAGUAAAGGACAUGGGUGUACACAUGUACACCCAAUAAUUUUUGCAAAGCAAUCGAAGUUAGUAGGCAUAUACACCUGUAAUUAGAUUCAGAUCGGAUUACAAAUAGUAUGUUAGGGUUUGGGCGCACGAUUUCUUUUACCUAUGAAUUACAUUAAGGUUUGGGCGCACGAUUUAGCACAGCAGGAAGGGAAGGGAGGACCAACCGACCAAGGGGAGGGAAUACCUAGUGUUCUGGUUGUGCUCGUCGCGGGGCAAACUGGCCAGUGGCGAAGUAGGACAGCAGCGACGGUCGCAGGGACACCGGGGGCGGCAGAGGGCGGACGUCGUGCCGGAGAUGGUCGCGAGGAUGCUGGGCCCCAGCCCCAGGUGGUGCUCGACUGAGCGCAGUCUCCUCCGGCCUCCGGGUUGCGGCGCGGCGCGGCGAGCGGAUGAGGAGAAUAGGCCGCGGCCGCGGGCGAGACGACUCCAGGCGGUGGGCCAAGGGGCGUGCGGGCAAGGGCAAUUUAGUCCAGCUUACCUUCUUGUGGCCAACUUCACGUGCGUCGGUCGUGCCGUCACAUUACAGAGAGAAAAGAUAGAAGGGAAAGAAGAUAUAAUUUAGGCUCUGUUGAAGAAAAAAAAGUUUUGUGUGUUACAUCCAAUGUGUUGGAAGGAUGUCAGAAGAAGUUUUAGAAACUAAUAAAAAACAAAUUACAUAGCUCGUCGGGAGACGACAAGACAAAUCUAUUAAGCAUAGGUGUCACAUCGGAUGUGUCGGAAGGAUGUCGGGAGAAGUUUUUAGAAACUCAAAUUACAUAGCUCGUCGGGAGACAACAUGACAAAUCUAUUAAGCAUAAUUAAUCUGUCAUUAGCACAUAUGGGUUACUGUAGCACGGCUAAUCAUAACUAACUAGGUUUAAAAGAUUCGUCUCGCAAUUUUCAACCAAAUUGUAUAAUUAGUUUAUUUUUUUAUCUACAUUUAAUAUUUCAUGCAUGUGUCCAAAGAUUCGAUGGGAUGGAUGGAAAUUUUUAGGUGGGGAACUAAGCAGGGUCUUAGAUUAAAAAUUAUGAAAUUUUGGAAAUGUGUGAAAUUAUAUUAAUAUGUUUUUAAUAUAUCCUAAAUAGUAAUGAUAUAUCUUUCCAAAUCGUGAUAUUUUAAAUGAUAUGUAUUUAAUUAUAACCUUAAAAAUGCUAUGUGGUAUACAUAGGUGAUCCACCUAGACAUUCUUCAAUGUCUUAUACAUCAACAUAUAUGAUUAUCUUAUUGAAUAAAUAAAAAUAAAAAAGUAUGGACUUAAUGUUAUAUAGAAAUAGAAAUGUUAGACCUAGUCCACCUUACAUAUUGCACCUUAUCUUCCUUAACAUAAGUCAACACUUCAUCUAACCUUAUCCAUCCACCCCUACAGUGUCUCCUCUUGUCCACGCCUCUCACCUGUCGACGCUGCCUCUAUCUCCUUCAGGCUACGAUUGUCGCCUAUGCAACCUCGUGCCCAUCGUCUCUGCCCAUCCUCCUCUCAUCAUCCGCUUGCUGCCUUCAGUUGCACCCAUAGCACGCCUUUCUUCUAGCCGAGUCUGCCGCUAGCCUCCUCCAGGAGGCGAUUAUCGCCUCUACUGCCACCUGUCGUCCCUUCCUCAAGCAACACGGCCUUGAAACUGGGGCACCCCGAUUAUUCUCCGUCCACCCCCUUAGGCAAGAUAGUGUCCCUUCGACUAGCGCAUAAGCAUGCCUAGGCGAGCACCCUAUGGAACAUUAGGACAAGCUCGACCACGAGGGGAGAAGAGGCAGCCGCCACCCUCUGCGAAUAGAUUGAGAGUAGGAAGAAUCGACUAAGGAGAAAGAAAACAGAAAGUAGAAAGACUAUAGGCCGAUAGAUGGAUCCACAUGUCAAGUGUGACAUCUCAUGUUUUUGUUAACAAAUUUCAGGAGCAUCAUGUGUAUCAAAGGAGUGACGUUGAUAUAAAAAAUAUAGGAGAUGAAGGAAGUACAAAACUUCUCACUAUGGUAGGAGGCCAAGAUGGCAAAACAUAAAAGAUUAAAUGCCAGUGCAAAAGAUAUCAAUGUAUAUUUUUGAAACUUUCUAGAUAAAUAUUGAGUAUACAUGAGACAUGUUUGUCAUGUUUCUUCGCAAAAACUAGGAUACUUUAGAUCUAGAUAUUCUUAUAUGAUAAAAAUAUCGAAGAAAUAUAUAAAUAUUAAAAUAUAUUUAAAAAUAUAUAUUUGUAAUAUCAUAGUAACCAUGAGCAGGUAUAAAUAGACGCGUCCAUUGAUGUGUUUCAUUCACAUCUAUAACAAACGACCAUAAAUAAUAGAGUCAUAAGGACAGCUUCAUUCAAGCCCCUACUUAAGAUCGCGUAUCAUUUUAAGAGCUCAAAUACAUGAAAAUCCUCUCAUACCGACCCUAUUCAUCCCUCAAUGGACGAGAACCUCUCACUUCUCUCUUCUAGAUUCUUAGAUGUAGGAUCUUUUUAUGUUUUUUUUAUUCCUCAUUUCUUUUUUCACGUAAAGUUGAACAAAGUUCAAUAUUAAGUAGGAGAAAUUUAAGAAGUCAGUUAAAGUGCACUAAAAAUAGGGGAUGUAAAUUCGAAAACUGUUAAUAAUGUCUUAUACAUUGUUGUUAAUAUUUAUUUAUUAUACAUAGUCAUAAGAUUUGUUAAAAAAUUAUGUACACUCAAUGUUACAAAACUGCGUCCGCCAUUGAUUAGUAGCACUCCAGAAAACAACCUGGUGUACUGGGUUCUCGUGGCCGGCAACGAAGACCUAGGCAGCUGGGCGGCCGCCGCCGCCCUAGUUAUCGUGCUCGCGCACCGCGAGGUGUAAUGGAGAAGAGAAACAACAAGCAGUUGGGAAAGGAAAUUCUUUUCGGGGGUUGUUCCUUGCUUCUCUGCGACGGCGCGCUACUGGGCCGAUUCCUCUUUCUCUUUCUGUAGGUGCACGCUCGUUCAUCCGAGAAAGAGGCCCAUGGAACUCGUUCAUGAGAGAAAGCGGCUCAUUAGAGCAUCUCCAACGGUUUGCCAUUCUAGUUUGGCAUUUGUGUUAUUUGGCAAAAAAGUAAAAAUUACUCCUCCAACGGUUUUGCAAAUGGGUUUGCCAUUUUAGUAAACUUGGCAUUUGAGAGGCUCCCCUUGGCAUAUUUUGGCAUAUUUGGGAGUUGGCUUUUGGAUUGGCAAAUGCUUGCGGCCGGUUUUCCUACGUCAAUUCCGUGCGCGGCCUGGUCUGUUUGGCGUCGUUUCCUUUGUCGGAGGGAGUCCUCGCGCCAAAUAGAGUCCGCGUCGCCAUUUGUUUGCCGCGACUCAAAGACGCAGAUCGAGUCUGCUACGUCGUCCCUCCCUGAACGUGAUUGAAAUACGCCGAUCGAGUCUGCUACUUCCACCAGGAACGUUAUGCAUCACAAGGAAGAUGAAGGCGACGACGAACACGAACCUACGACUGCGAGCGGCGACGCCUCCGUUCGCUCGAAGGGAAACAUGCACGAGGAAACACGCGCGUGUGACAGAAAGACACGCGCAAAGAUUUGGCUGGGUCCACUAGGUAAUUGCCAAGUCUAAAAUGUCAAACCAUUGGGGAUGACCAUAUUUUUUCCUUUGCAUUUGCAAUUGGGAGUUGGCAAACAAUAACAAAUGCCAAACCGAAAUUGCCAAACCAUUGGAGGUGCUCUUAUUCUUUCUCCGUUUCUUUUCCUUUUUUUUCUUUCUUUUUCUUAUAAUACAAAAUUUCCUAUUUUUAUUUUGCUCCCAACUGUAUCAUUGUUAUAACUUGUCACUAAUAGUUAUAUCUAUUUUUUUCAAAUCCACUAGUGAGGUUUUUUUCUCUUCUUCUGUCAAUAACCUAUUUUGUAAAUUGUUAUUGGGUCUUUUAACUUUAUGUUCUGGUUUGGUUUUAUAAUCUUUUUAUUUCACAUAAAUGAGCAUUUUUUUGUCCCAAAUAUGUAGCAUUUUUUUGUGAUGUUGGAACAGAUUUCCUCGUUAUGCUUAUGCUAGAAUAUUGUUUUCCUGAACAUGGAACGUUUUGGUUAUGAAGCUGGAAAAAAAUUCCUAUGAGGCAACAACAUUUUUCUAAUGAAGCUAGAAGAUAUUCUUCACGGAGCUGGAACAUGUUCUAUACUUUUUUUGCAGGAACAUCUUGUUUUUAAGGUAGCACAUUUUCCCGUGAAGGUAUAAUAUUUUUUUUCUAAUUUUAUUUUUAUCUCUUAUGUUAAGAUGACAACUAUAAAAAAAACCCAAUAUGAUAUGGCAAGCAAACACUAGAAAUAUACCCCAGUCUUUCAAUAACUUUAUUCUUUGACAUGCAGACCUUUAACAUGUUGGCAAUUCAUUCCAACAAAGUUUCCCUCAAAAUGAACUAGUGUCAAUGUUUUGUUCUAUCAACUAAUGAGUUAUAAAGAGUCAUGCCAUGUAGCUUAGAACAAUUCUUGUGGUUCCAGGAAUCCGGCUAUAGGCAAACCAGGAACGAGGAGCUCUCCCCUUUUUUACGUCCGACUUUUUGAUUUUAACUUAGACUGUUGGUUUUAAGAACGAGUGAUUGCCUUUGGCUCUUUGAUUGUAGUUAAAGACCACAUGUGUCAUUUCUUGUUGUUGCCAUCUAAAAUUGUGUAGAAAACCCUGCCGAUGGCGGGAGUCAAGAGAAACCAAACUUCCGACGCCUCCACAUAGGAAAAAGAGGUCUGGCUCCUUUCAGCUUCUAGCCAAGAUACAUUUUGUUCAACCCCGUUUGGUAGGAUUCUAGGUGAAGUCAGAGUAGAAAUCCCUUUGGGUGCCAUACCGAAGAGACCUUUGAUCUUUGCGUUUAGGUUUCUUUUCUAAAAAGAACUUAUAAAUUCAUCUUUGAUAUCAUUUUUCCUUUUCCAGAUAUAGCAAUGAGCGAGGUACAAAUAGUAUUGCGCCAAACGAUUAAUAAGGUUGAAAAUCAGACACUCAGCGACCUGCUGCCUCCUGCUAUCUUCCUUUGGCUGAUAAGGUGUUGAUGCAGCAGGACAGAACAAACCACAGAUGCCAGUGCCAGCAUGAGCUGACACGACAUGCCAGAUCGGCAGGGCCGUGAAGCCAAACUAGAAUAGGAUCAGGUUCGUUCUCUUUACAGUUCACUCGAAAUAUAGUUUUCCUCACAGAAAAGCUAAUUGAUAAUAUGUUUUCCCACAAAACAGCACGUAAAAGAGCAAGAUUGACACCAGAUUCACUCAUCAACUUAUCCAUGCACAGUCCAAAGAGACACACAUGCCAGCAAAGGAAAUUUGUUGUUUUAUUGCAAGAUCUACGAGCUCAGACACUUUCCAAAGGUGUCAAGGUAAUGCAAAUCCGAUUCACAAUGUCAGAAGUCGCUUAGCGUCAUCGUUUGUAACACUUCCAAAGUAGAAUCACAUUUAUCAUUUGAGCUUCUUAAAGAGCUUUGGUGCUACCUGCAGAUGCAUGUUUCAUAGAAAAAUUGGUUAUUCUACCUUGGCAAUGCUUUUUCCACAACUAAUUUUAACAAAUGGUAAACUGCAAGCUGCAAUCAAGUACUUACACAUUUGUCAAUGCAUGACCAGUAAUCAAAAUAUUGCCCAGUGCAGUGUUUGUGACCAGUCUCAUCACUCUCAACUCUCUUGACACAUUUCUGAAAACAUACAGUCACCAUUAAAGGUUGAACAAAAAUACUCGUGUGCCAGGCGUGCAUAUUAAAACAAAUGAAAUACUAUUAUCAUCCUAGGGUAAAAUAAAACUAUAUGUAGGCUAAUAUUCAAAAAUCAAAUUAUAGAAGUUUAUUAAUAAGAGUCUAUAACACCAAAUACAGGAAAUUGCAAUGAAGAUUUAUGUAAUUCAAAACCUCCAGCACAAGUUCUGCAUUCCUGAAUUCAAGAACUGUGAGAAAACUUAAAUUUGGCAAGCACCCCAAUAAUGUUAUGCAUGUCAAAAACAGGACCACAUAUCAACCUAUAUUGUUUGAAUCAGUCUACAGAGUACAGACUAAACAUUACAUUGGUUGAACAGCUAGCAAAAGUUGUUAUUCAGAGCAUCCCAUUGUUCCAUCACUUUUGACUUGAUCAGCAAAUCACUAGUAUGCGCGAGUGCAGCUAAAAGAUUCUUGGCACAACUCUCAGAAUGGCAUGACUGUGUUGUCCGACCAGGACAACAGGAGAUGUGGAUACAAGAACAUACUGAAAUAUCAGACCAAUACCACUAGACAAUAUUAGCUCCUGGUAUUUGCCACUAAGAAUAAGCCUAAUAUAAGGCAAAGCAAUGUUACUGCUUGCACAUCUCUGGGUAGUGGAACCAUAGCAUUGGUUAAAACUCAUAUGUUCACAUGGAUGAAUAGAGCAAAUAGGUUGUGCAUGAUCAGUUGAUCCCAUGAACAAAAAAAAACGUUGCCAGCUAAUUUGGUCAGGUAUACAAAGUGUGUUUCGAGUGUCGAUAAAAGCUUCAUCAUGAGAAACUAUUCUGCCAUUUGACUAACUGUAACCAGCUAUUUCUUGAACUUUCAUGAAGGAAAAUAAAUAGUACUCCCUCCGUUUCAAAUUAUCAGACAUUUUGGCUUUUCUAGACACAUUUCUUUUACUAUGUAUCCAAACAUAGUGCAUAUUUAAGUACAUAGCAAGAGCUACGUAUCUACAAAAGCCAAAACGUCUUACAAUUUAGAAUGGAGGGAGUAUCAUAUAGAAACCCUUGUAUCAACUGAAAAAGAAUAUGUUAAAUCAUUGGCCAACAAUGUGCUAAAUUUUGAGCUUCCAAUAAGAAAGAGAGGGCAGACCUCAUACUCAUAAAGCGAUUUUACACACUGUGGCUUGCAUCGUUCCUCAAGAUAUUUCUUCUGAUCAACAAGUUCCUCGUCCUCCCUGAGAUAGAGCAACAUUACAGAAGCAUUGAACUUGAGACAAGAGGGGGAAAAAAAAGGGGGGGCUAGCAAUGACCGGCCCUUGUGCUGUGAAUAACACUUCAGAGUUUGCAAUGUAGGAAUGUACUAAGUAAGCUCACUAACAUUGUGAUUUGCGAAAGAAAGGAUAUCUGCAGAUCCUGUCUGCAACAAGAUGCCUACCGUAAUCUUCUAGAAAAAGUUUGCCAAACAAAUCUCAGUUCUCAACUUAACAGCACGAAAAUGCUCAUAUAUAGAGCAGGGCAUGGCGUGAGGUAUAGUAGCAUUUUGGAGUCAGGCGGUGAAGAAAACAAAUGUACCGAUUCAUUCACCCUCCUACAAUAAAUACCUCAAGCAAAGCAAUAACCCCCAACAUAACAUGGGGCAGUUAAGCUAAUGUGCGACAAUCCUCUAACUAUGACGAAAUAGAACCAUAUUCCUAUGCAUGAAGAUAUGGGUUAGGUACCUCAAUGCUUACCUUACACUACGGUUGAGCGUGCUUGCUAGACGGCAGACGAGAUACAAUAAUUUGACCUACAUUUGGCCGGAUAAACAACUUCCCACCCACAAGCACAAGCCCAGGGUCAGAAAAGCCAAAGCUGUAAUCGAGCUGACACAGCCCACAGCUACGCACGAAAGCAAAAUCUAGCAAGUAAGCUACGCAUCUACCUUACUCUUAAGUCUUAACCCAUCGAGAGCAAAGGGUGAUGUUGCCCCUCUCGUGGCUGAAGCCGCGACCAAUCAGCCGAACACAGCCCCCAGCCAUCCAGCUCGCGGAAUCCUUAUGCGCAACGCAAGGCGUGGGUGUGCAUCCCUAACAGAGCGACGCAGCUGAAACCCGAAAGGAACAGGCGCGUCGCGAGAAGCAGCAGGGGAGCGGGAUUCCGAAGGUAAUGAAGAGCAGAGCGAGAAGAAUCAGGAGGUCGCGGGAGGGAGGAAGGAUGACUCACAUGGCGACUGGCGGAGACCGUGGACGAACGAACGAAGUGGAGGAGGAUCAGAUCCGAUGCUAGGGUUGGGGGGGGAUUGGAUUUGGGGGGGGAAGCGGAGCGGGGCGGGCGGUUUGCUGCUGGUACGGUACGGUAGAGACUAGACUGACCACGACGAGGUUGACGACGCCAACUGCUUCUGUUUGGGGGAAAUGGGCCAUUGACUUGGGUCUUUUUAGGCCCAACGUUCGUCGGAGACAGCCGAAUUCAAUCAGACUUGGGCCUCUUCAGUACUCACCGGCCCAGAUUUUUUUACAUUAUUUUCCUUUGCUUUUUUUUUUAAAAAAAAAAAAGUAACUCAGUUUGCUCACCGUGCAGCAGCAGCAUCAUCAUCAUCGCCUGCUGCUGCCUGAUUCAUCUGCAUCUAGUAGUUACCUAAUUAAUGAACAACAGGUCGGGGUUGUGAUCUGUGAUUCCAUCUACGCCGCGCCAAUAAUCCCUUUUUUUUCAGGUUUGCUCACAUGGGGAUCAUCAUUGUCACAGUUGGGAGGAGGAGGAGCAGCUGCAGCAGAUCCGAUCCGAUCCAUGAUCCAUCCAUGGCCAUGAAUAUGAAGCCAUCCUCGUCAUCGGAGGAAAGAACACGGCCCGCCUUUCCGAUCCAUCGUGCAAGUCAAGUUCUGGCAGUGUGGAGCACGCAGCGUCAGGCAGCUAUAGCUGUUCUUCGCUGGCCCUGCUGCUGGGAGGGCGGCGUGCCCAGCCCACCGUGUCAUGCAUGGGCGAUCAUGGUCGCCGUCCGUCCGGGUCCUGCUCCUGGUGACCACUUUGAUUAGCGCACAAAUUGCCGCCUGACAGUGUCAUUAUCAUUCCGUACGUACACCAUUGAUCCCCAGCAUAUAAAACUUUAAUAAAGUCGGUAGUACAUGUAUAUGGGCUCACUAAAUCCGUAUCAGCACGCGUGUGCCACUACCACUAGAGAUGUGUGCUCAGCUGGAGUACUCUAGUUUAUUAUUAUUAUUAUAGUUCCAGGUCAUAUGAUCCUGGACCCAAAUCGCAUUAAAUUUGUUGCAACUGCAUGCAAGGUGUUGCUCUUUAAAAGCAAUUAUAUAUAUAUAUAUAUAUAGUAAUAAAAAAAGGGGAAAAAUAAGGAUCUGGAAGCCGGCCCAGGCGCAAAAGGACCGGUCCAGCGAGGAAUGGGUUGGGCUUGCUGGGUGCACCUCCACGCUAGUCCAGCCGCACAAAUGGGCCCGCCGCCAUCUCGCUCCAUCGGACGGGUCAGCUUGCUCCACGUAGCCCAUCGGAAGGGAAGGCCCUUUCCUUUUUUUUUUUCCCUUGCCAGUGCCAGGUAUGCUGCUUCAUAUUAUACCCCUGCGCCCAAUUUGGAAUCUUGGCCAAUCGAUCGAUAAUAACAAGGACAGAUGAUUCGUGACCCACGCUUCUUCCUUGAUUGUUUGGUUGCUUUAGUUGAAGGCAUCAUCAUCAACUAGCUGUGCUGUGCAGCUCGUCGGCUCUAGCUAGAUGCCAUGUGGGUUAUGCAUGAGUUUGUUUCGUGUUGCACAUUUUAGCCUAUAUGUUUGCUGGUUUCAUCGACUUCAAGUUAAUCUUUGAAAGAGAGCAUACAACGUAAAAUAUUUUUCUAGAAACCGGAGCCAUUUUGUGAAGAAAAACUUCUCCCAAAUGUGACGCCUUACUAUUACAUUACACCUCUUUAGUAGAGCUUUGGCCAGUCCUAGCUACUAGGCCCUAUGUGUACUAUAGCAAUGAAUUAUUUGUAUCUCUUUUGUCAAACCGAACUAAGAUUGGGCGAAUAGUUUUACUAGCUCUGACUUCUCGAUCUAAAUAUAUAUUACUAUUUUGUUUGAAAUUGUAAGUCAUUUUGACUUUUAUAAAUUUAGAGUUUUUACUAUAUAUCUAGACAUAGUAUGUAUGUAUGUAUGUAUGUAUGUAUGUAUGUAUGUAUGUAUGUAUCUAUGUGUAUAGCUAAAUCUAUUAUGGAUCUAGAAAGGCUAAAAUGACUUAGAACUUGAAAUGGAUGAAAUAAUUCAUUACAAAAUAGUUGCUUCAUCCUAUUGCAAACCUUGAUUGGCCUUGUUUGGAUCCACAUAUAUUGAUCCAUAAUGCACAUAUAUUAGAGUUGAUUGAAAUGAAACUUAGUUUAAUUUCACUUCAACAUAUGUGGAUUGAGGUACAUACACAUACAUGUAAACAAGAUCUUAUAUAAUUUAUCUUACAACUCUUCUCUAUGCUUUAGAUCGAUAUAACUCAUCACAAAAAUAUGUACGCGUCUUUGGUCAUUAAUUCCUUGCAUCUAUUUAAUGAAAGAGACCAAUCUUAUCUUGUAAAUAAAUAAAGGCAUUAUUUGAUGGAGCUCCAAAAAAGUUAGGUAUUUGUACCUUCAUGAAAAGUUGCAUUUAGAGUUAAGGACUUAAGGUACAACGAGGGCAUUUAGAUAAUUCAUUUUCCUACUGGGUACAAUUAUUUAAAUAUCUAGAUCUAGAGCAUAGGCAUCAAUCACCGCUCGAUGUACUAAACAAAUGGCAUCAAAAGUUUUUCUUAAAAAAAUGGCCUCAAAAGUAACCACACAAAAAGUUUCAGGAGUAGUUAGUGGUGACAUUCAUAGAUAAAAUCAUCUCAAUCACUUCUAAUUUUCCUAGAUAUAGCCUAACAUAAACAAGAACACAAAAAAGAUCGUUUAAGGAAAAAAAGUACACCUGCCUAUACAAAUAAAAAAAACUGUACCAUUUAAACCAUUUUGCAAUCAGAAUUCAGAACUAGGCAGAAACUACUCCUUUUUUUUUGUACUAAUGUUUUUUAAAUUAAUUUUCUCCCACCCGGAUGCGCAUAUAAAAACCGCCGAAACCCUUGGCUCUCCUCACUUGACCACCGCAACCACUUCUCCCCUGUUUCCUCUCGUGCAUUCUCCGUGGGAAGCGAGGAGGACUCGCGGCCGGCGGCAGGUUCUGCUAGAUCUCCGGGUAAGUGUUGAAAGAAAAGAAAAAUUGUUGGAGGAAUUAAUUCCGAAUCUUUCUCCAUUGCGAUUUUGGUGUCUAGUCUGAAACGCGCAGUUCAUCCCAUUCCUGCCCACAGUAGAUCAGAUCCGAUUUGCUCCUGCGGCAGGCAUUGCGAUUGCUGGGCCCUGGUUGCCGAUUAGUUAUCGACAUAAACCGCGGCCAAGCCCCCCAAGAAGUUCUUGCGGGGUGACAAGAAGAAGAUAAACAGUUUGGCCAUCUCGCCUCGCAAGGAUAACCGCCCGUUAAUGCAUUUUUGUUUCUUGAUUUCUGAAUAAACAUAGGUAUUAUUCGAUUUCUGGAUAAUAGAGUGCCAUUAACUGGUCCCUGCAUAGCGUGGUAUUGGUUACAGAAACUGUGCCGGUUCUGUAGAUUUAGAUGAAUCACAGUGUCAAGAGAGACAGGAUUCACCUGAAUCCUUCUGUUAAAUUAGAAAAUAGACAUGAUCCAAGGUCCUGUGAUUUCUCAGUGAGUAGUCGUGUAGAGUUUAUUUAUUUUGGUCCUGUUUCCUUUGCUGAAAAUGCAGUUAAUACCAAGUUUUCUGCUGUUUCCUAUUAAGAUAGAUACUCUGUUACUGAUUUUUACCCUUUGGCUCCUCCUUGUGUUUUUGUUCCAGAAUCUGUAGCAAAUGGCUGACGGCGAGGACAUCCAGCCCCUUGUUUGUGACAAUGGAACUGGCAUGGUCAAGGUUUGUAGUUCUUGUUCAUGCUGCUACUUCAUAUUCAGCAAUCUUGUUCUGCUAAUUUUAAUAACACGCUUUCUUAACUUUUGGCAGGCUGGUUUUGCUGGUGACGAUGCGCCAAGGGCUGUUUUCCCAAGCAUUGUUGGACGUCCCCGACACACUGGUGUGAUGGUUGGCAUGGGGCAGAAGGAUGCGUAUGUUGGUGAUGAGGCCCAGUCCAAGAGGGGUAUCCUGACUCUGAAGUACCCAAUCGAGCAUGGUAUUGUUAGCAACUGGGAUGACAUGGAGAAGAUCUGGCACCACACCUUCUAUAAUGAACUCCGUGUUGCGCCUGAAGAGCACCCUGUGUUGCUGACCGAAGCCCCACUCAACCCCAAGGCUAACAGGGAGAAGAUGACCCAGAUCAUGUUUGAGACCUUCAAUGUUCCUGCCAUGUAUGUCGCCAUCCAGGCUGUGCUUUCCCUGUACGCCAGUGGACGUACAACUGGUAAUGAUUCGUUCACAUGGUGACCAAAUUUCAUUAGGACCUCCAAUUUUUUUAGCGCAAAGGACCUCCAAAAUUUUCACUCUUAAUUAUGGAUUGCUGUGGUUCAUUCAGGUAUUGUGUUGGACUCUGGUGAUGGUGUGAGCCACACGGUGCCAAUCUAUGAAGGUUAUGCCCUUCCUCAUGCCAUCCUGCGUCUCGACCUUGCUGGGCGUGACCUGACUGACAGCCUGAUGAAGAUCCUCACUGAGAGAGGUUACUCCUUCACCACCACUGCCGAACGGGAAAUUGUAAGAGACAUCAAGGAAAAGCUCGCGUACGUGGCUCUUGACUACGAGCAGGAGCUGGAAAGCGCCAAGAGCAGCUCAUCUGUGGAGAAGAGCUACGAGCUGCCUGAUGGUCAGGUGAUCACCAUUGGGGCAGAGAGGUUCAGAUGCCCUGAGGUCCUCUUCCAGCCUUCCUUCAUUGGUAUGGAAGCUCCUGGCAUCCAUGAGACCACCUACAACUCCAUCAUGAAGUGUGAUGUGGAUAUCAGGAAGGACUUGUAUGGUAACAUUGUGCUCAGUGGUGGCACGACCAUGUUCCCUGGUAUCGCGGACCGUAUGAGCAAGGAGAUCACUGCCCUUGCCCCGAGCAGCAUGAAAAUCAAGGUGGUGGCACCGCCUGAGAGGAAAUACAGUGUCUGGAUAGGAGGAUCCAUCCUCGCCUCCCUGAGCACCUUCCAACAGGUUAAAAAACUUGCACUUUUUUGUUUGUUUCCAGUUGCUAUGGCAAAUAUUGCAACCGUUCAGUAGUUCUAGUAUUUCUUUGUACUGAAAAAAUAUGCUCUGGUAUUAUUUUUGUACAGAUGUGGAUCUCAAAGGCUGAGUACGAUGAGUCAGGACCCGCGAUUGUUCACCGGAAGUGCUUCUAAGCUUAAGGCCCAUCCCCACUUCGGCUCCAUUUAUGUAUUCCUUUCCAGCGAGUGCUUUUCAUGUAAGCUACUAUGUUUGAGAUUGCCAGCCUAUUGAGGAGGCAAUGUUGUUGGAUUUAUAUUUUGUGGCUCACUACAAUGCCAUGCAUUGCUCCAGCUCCUUUCCAUGCCAAGUUUGUUGCUAGUGGUGAAAACAUCAACCACAAAAAAAGAGGUCGGAAAUUAUUAAGGUACCUAGGAUCAUAUUGUAAUUGUACUUGUGCGAGUAACAUUAUUGGUUCUCUUUGUACAUCCAUCUCUGAGACAUGCAAUGCAAUUUGUUUGAUUGGUUGCCGCUUCUGUGAAUGGUUUUUUGUUGCUGGUUGCAACAUUGUUGUCAUUCCACAAAUUUGAAGUUUUUGAAUGGCAACAUCCCUGGGAUUACCUUUGGGCUGCUUGUGAUGAGUCCCCAGAUAUGUGGAUUUCUGAUUGCUGAAUCUCAUGUGCUGCUGCCUGCUAAAAGUUGUUCCCAUGUUACUGGUAAAAGGUACCGCAGCUGAGUGCAUGAAUUCAGGAACAUGGGUUGCCGGUUGCCCUGUGCUGUGCCCCAGUCCGAAUGUCUGCGCCUAACAUGGGCAGGGCUGCUGCGGCUUUGGCAGGAAGGGACCAGACCAUUUGCUCCUUCCAGCUUUGUUUCAGUACCCACGGAGUGAUUAUUACUAUGCUCUAAAUAAAUGACACCUUUUAAUUGUGGCUUUUGAUGACACCUUUUAAUUGGGGCUUUUGAUUGCAAUUACAUUUGAUACUAAUAUAGUGCCAAUGCUAACACCACAGCUUCAUUUGGGGAUGCACAUGAAGAUUGGGGAUGCAUGUGAAGAUAACCAAACAACGAUAUUUCUUCCAUAGUUUUAAGUCUCACGCUAUGAUCCAUUGCUCAGCUUCCUCAAAAAUAUCAUCGAUGAUCCAAGGCAUUGAUCUCCGCUGAUUUUGAAAAAAAAACAGGUUGUAUUCAUUAUAAUAUGUUUAUCAAAUGCUCUUAGUUACGUCAUUUCAUACAAACUUAUGUGACUAUAGCAACAUAGUACCUAAUUCAUGCCAAAGCAUGUACCAUUUGUUACACUUGGUAUGAGCAUUUCCAGCUUCCUUGCUGCCAAAGAUUCUAAAUGAUCGUGCAUUAUUGCAGAGAAGGUUUUGCUUCUAAAUGAUCGUGCAUUAGUGCGGAGAAGGUAUGGGUGUUGGUAAAUGUGCCUCUCCCAUUUACUCAUAUUUUUUCAGGUGUAUUUACUUGAUAAAGUUGGUAAAUAUUGUUGAAAACCCAAACCAACUUUUGGUUUGCAAAGAAAGGGACUAACUUAACCAGAUACUGCUACAUACUUUUCAUCCUUGCUUUCGACAGACUCACUAUCAAGAAGGUGUGAUACUGACGUUGGCUCUAAUGGGACUACAAUUCAAUUCUAGGCGAAAUCAUGACGGCCCAACUCCAUUAGGCUCGGCCUAGCACAGCCGCCGCCAAGAGCCCUUGAAACGAUGGGAGGCGGGUUGGUGACUUUGGUGGACCAACAGAGGGCAUAUUAAAAUAGCCCACACGCCAGGGCUAGGGCGCCACACGCGCAUAGCGCAACGCACCCGCCCACAGUUUCAACCCACCACUGUGCCUGACACGUGGGUCCACGAUUUCUCACCCCACAUGUUAAGUGGCCGGACAAAGGCACCCCGACAAUGCACAACACGACAUGGUGCGUCGUUUUCAAUUCAUGCUCCAACCUUUUCGUUUAGUUUAAUGGUUUUUUAGUCAUCCGUUCUCCUCCGUGCUCCAGCCUUUCCGUCUAGUUUAAUGGUUUUUAGUCAUCCGUCCUCCUCCGCUCUUUGUUGCCAACCCCAGGAACAACCCUGCCUAGGCCUAGGGAAGGACCGAAAGGGAGGUGCGCGGCUGGUGGUGUGCGAAUGUUAGCGGCGUUGCAGGAGUGCGGAACUCUUCUUGUUGCCGAGCAGGCGCUCCGUGCCACGACGAUGAGCUUGUCCACCCGCUUGCUUUUUGGGACAAGGUGUGUUGUCUUUGUGUGUAGUUGUUGUCCUUUUGUUUUCCUCUUAGCGCCGUUGCGCACUUGCGGUGAGGCCAAUGUGCUCUUGCUGGUUGGGGGAGAUCAUAGAUGGAAUAGGUUGUAGUGGGAUUCUUGCUCUACUGGUAAGCUGCUUGAUUAUAGGACUGCCAGCGUCGGCGCAAAUUUGUUUUUGUCGAUUGUAGGGGGUUAGGGAAAUCGAUAGGUGACGAAGUUUGUUCUUCCCCUUUGAUUGAAGCUUCGUGAAGUCUCAAUUAUAUAGGGCUUGAGAUCUAUUAGGACUAGCGAAGUAAUGGUUUUCUAGUGGUGAUACUGGCUAUACAAUUUUGAUAUAUUUGGAUAUAUCCGCUUAUCCCAGUGUGAAUUUGAUGUUUGCUAUAUUAUUGUUAUCCUAAAUAAAAUUAUUAUUAAAUAUAGAUGUCUCUCUUGGAAAGAAAAUUUGUGUUUUGGUUGUGGGGGAAGAGCAACUCCCUAUUCCCCGUUAUUGGUGGCAGACAAAAUGUUAUAAUACUAUGUGUGUAAAAUAUUUCCCUUUUAACAUUCACAAUAAUAUAAACUUUAAAAUAACUAUGAAAUAUUUUAAAACUAAAUAUGUGAUGACUAAUUUCAUAACUUUUGAUAACUCACAUGGUGACUGAGUAUGCAUGGAAUAAACACAAGUCUAUAUACGUAUUUAUAGCUUUACGGUGGCAACCUUCAACAAUUUUUUAUAUGUUAGAAUAUUUCUCAUAUUUAUCUAUUCUCCAUAUAUUCUUAUUACACAAAAUAUCAAGAUCUAGAGUGUUCCAUAUUGUUUGUGUUUAUCUAUUGCCUAGAUAUUUCUCAUACAAAAUAUCCGUAUAUAAAGUAAGUCUAAAGUAUGAUAAUUACUUCAAUUUAUCUGAAAAGUUUCUCACGUCGAGUUUCUUGUUUUAUAAGAUAAUAAGAAGGCAAAUAUGUCACACCCCUAACAUUUUUCUAAUAUGAUCAUAUUUCUUUCUUCUUAAUAAAUAUUGUUUUUUUCUAUUCUAGAAGUUGUUUCUAACCCAAAAUAUAUUCUACUAUAAAGGGCUAAGUAAAAAAUGUUCUACUUGUAGAAAGAAACCAUUUGUUCCAUAAAGAACAACUAGUGCCAUGUAAGAGUAGCAACAUUUCUAAUUUAUUAAUUAUGCAGUACUGUUACUUAUACAAUACUUUUUUUGAAUGCAUAAUUGUUUUUAUGGUUACACUGUUUCUAUUCCUAUCAUGUUAUGUCAAGCCUUCGCUCUUGCCUCAUAACUACGUAUAUCUUUUCAACUUUGUAUACCUUCGUUUUGGGUUGGAGCCUUUCUAUGGACUUAACGCCACUAUAUGACUCUAUUGUCUUUGUGCCUUGUGAAUAAUAAAAAUUUGAGUAGCCAGAUUUGUUUAAGGUUGAUAAAGUGUGACAAUUCUAACACACGAAAGUAUUUUGUAGUAAAAUCUUUAACCUUGUUACAACAUAAAAAUCCUUAGUAAAUUAUAAAAUCAAAAGAGAGUAAUAGGAAGACGCAAGUUUUUCAGGACAUACUGAAGUAUCAAUACUCUUUAAUAGUUCUUGUUGGAGCAUGAUUUUUUAAUGAUUUCAUACUAUUUUUUUAUUGACGAUAGCAAUGUUUUUAGUUCAUGGAACUAUUGUUUCACGUUUAGCAGCAAAAAAAUAUUUCAUAUUUAUUUUGGAAAUUGUCGCAAAGCAAAAUUUAUUUUUAUCUUAUAAACAAAGUUAGUAUCUUAUUGGUUUGUGAAACUAGUAUAUGUUUUUGUGAAAAUGGCUUUUAGCUUCAAUAUAAAAAUAUUAAACUUUAAUAAAAUAUAAAAAAGUUCUAUUACUUAUUUACAAUCUAUGUACUAUAUAUUUAGGCUUUGUUUAGUUUCAAAAUUUUUGGCAAAAUAAGCACUGUAAUAUUUUCAUUUGUAUUUGACAAAUAUUGUCCCAUCAUGGCUUAACUAGGCUCAAAAGAUUUGUCUCACGAAUUACAGACAAACUGUAUAAUUAGUUAUUAUUUUUAUCUAUAUUUAAUGCUAUAUGCAUGUGGAGCAAGAUUCCAUGUGACGAGAAAUCUGAAAAAGUUUAUAAAUUUUUUUAGAAACUAAACAAGGCCUACUAGCCACUCAUAGCGUCUAAUGAAGAGAAUAGGUAUGAAGUUUCUGUUGUGUUAUUUAAAACAUAUGUUUUACUAGCUAUAGAUAGUGUCCAUGAAGAGAGUAGAUAUAUGGAAUCAACGAGAAUGAAAAUUUAAAAGGGAGAGCAAGAAAAUAAAAAUAAAAAUAAAACACAAACUUUCAAAGAAACUGAAAAAAACGGCCAACGAGAAGCCCGUGCGUUUUUUUUAUUCCGCCGUCGAUGCUUCCGUCUUCCCCUUCCGUCCGCUGCGGCGCUGCAUCCCUCUUCCCUCCUCCGCCUCCUCUCUCUCUCUCUAGCUCUAGCUCUAGCUCUCUCUCUCUCGCGCGCGCUCCCAGACGACUGUUGGCUCGCCGCCGCCCCAGGCCAGGUGCUGAGGCCUUUCUUGGCCUCUUCGCCGGCGACGAGCACCCACCAGGCACCCCUUCUCUUCCCUUCCCUGUACGAAGGUGAGCACCGAAACCCUAACCUAAAGCUAUUUAGCUAUUUGAUUGACAGUCCUCCUUACUUCGAAGCUUUUGCAAAAAUUAUUGGGUGUUCAUGUGUACACCCAUGUCCGUUUACUGGAUCCGCCCCUGCCCUUUAUGUUCACCUUUAGAUGGUUGGCAACCCAUUUAGGAGGCUAGUUUGUUGUCAACAAACCCAUUGCUGAAGCACGAAAAGACUGCUACCACUAGCCAUAAGUAUCACCACACUAAUUUUGUGGAAAUUUUCAGAUAGUGAAGCCAGUCACUUACUCACUUCUCAAGGUCUCAGUGUUAUAUCAAAAUGACAUCUUUGAUGGCUAGGUGAACAAAUGGUUCUGUUAUAUAAGUCAAUACAGCUGAUUUGGCGCGGAGCCGUGUUUGCCCUGUGUAUACAGUUCAGAAUUGCACAAUGUCCUCUUGCAGUCCCUGCAAUGUUUCCUUUUCAUGCUGCUGCACUCAUUUGGUUACAAAUUUAUGAUAUCAUCAAUGCCAUCAGGAAGAUUUGCUGUUGUAUACCACUGUGCAAUUUAUCUCUAGAGAAAUAUGGUACUUAAUUGUGUCAUCAAAUUCCACAUUUUCCUUUGACCUUAGGUGAUCCUGCUAAAAGUUUGAACUCUGGUUUUGCUGUGUGGUUUCACACAUCAAAAAGCGAAAUAUGCAAGAAGUGGAUUUUAAAUUUCAUCCCAAAUUGCGUUUUCAGGUGACACCAUGAUAUUGAUGUGAAGUUUUGUGGCACUUCCUGCAUCCCUUAUAUGGUAUUAACAAGGUUUUUAAUUGUCUGGGUGAUCCAUUUAUCAAAUGGAAGGCAACGACCUACCCCCUGGAAACAUGUUGCAAGGGGUUCCCUAUGAUACUUUAGACUUACGUGGCAGCUCUAUGCAAAAGCAUACUCCAAACUCAGGAAAACAGAUCUUCAGUAGCUCCCAGAUGCCGGGGACUUUCACAAUGUCUAUGAUCAGGGCUACAGAGCCUGAUGACUUUCCUGGCUUUCAGUUCAAAGAACAUGGAAAGAGUGAUGACCACCACCACCAACACCAUAGUCAUCACUCAAAGAACUGCAAAAGUGAUGGCGAGGAACAUGAUGUGGCUGAAGAUGCUAUUGAUACCCCAAGUGGCAAAGGCAAGAAGGGCUCUGCAUGGCAUCGGAUGAAGUGGACAGAUUCAAUGGUAAAACUUUUGAUUACAGCAGUGUCUUACACUGGGGAUGAUCAUGGUGCUGAUUCCGGUGGUGGCAGGAAGAACUUUACAAUAAUGCAGAAGAAGGGCAAAUGGAAGGCGAUAUCGAAGGUUAUGGGAGAGAGAGGCUGCCAUGUGUCACCGCAACAGUGCGAGGACAAGUUCAAUGACCUUAACAAGAGAUACAAAAGGCUGACAGACAUCCUUGGUAGGGGCACUGCUUGCAAUGUUGUGGCUAAUCCAGCACUUCUUGAUAGCAUGAAUCAUCUUUCUGAUAAGAUGAAAGACGAUGCAAAAAAGAUACUUAGUUCAAAGCACCUAUUCUAUGAGGAGAUGUGUUCCUACCACAACAACAACCGUGUAAAUUUGCCUGAAGAUCAUGCACUUCAGCAUUCACUACUGCUUGCCCUUAGGUGUAAAGAGGAGCAUGAUCCUCCGAGGGAUCCAAGUGGAGAUGCUGAUGAAGACGAUCAAAGUGCAGAUUCUGAUUAUGAGGAGAACGACGAAGAGCAACAUCCUGUGCAUACAACUAUGAUGGAAGCCUCAACGCACAAAAGGAAGCGUCACAGUGAUGUGCCUUUGAUCACAUCAAGCUCUCAUGAAGGAAGUGAGAGGUCUGAUCCCCAUGGUGUCACAGUGGACAUCAACAAGACUUUCACAGAUGCAACCAACAUGAUUUUGUUGCAACAAGACUUGGCUUCACAAGCCAUAGAGAUUCAGAAACGUCGCUUGCAGAUUGAAGCGAAGGAACUGGAACUCGCAAAGCAACGUCUCAAGUGGGAGCGGUUUAGUAAGAAGAAGGACAGGGAGAUCGAAAAAAUGGCAUUGGAGAAUGAACAUAUGAUGAUUGAGAACAAACGCUUGGAACUUGAGCUGAGACAUAAGGAGUUACAGCUAGAUCUUAAGCUGAAAGGCUAGGGGAACCAUCUGUAACUUUUGCUUAAUCAACACUCAAUAUGUAAGAUGGUAAACAAGUAAGUGGGCUAUUGAACUAUCUUUACUAAGGAAAGGCUUUAUAUUCAUCAUCUUGAGCAGCUAUUUUUUUUUUAUUUGAACCUUUUCUGUUUUAAUUUGCUAUAUAUGGAACUCAUUCUUGUUUGUGUUUUCUGUUAAAAGUGCAUCAAUGUUUGUCAAUGGAGGGAACCAAAAACAUGUCAUUAGUUUUAAGCUAGGUGAUUCCUAACAUUCUGCUCAUAUUGGAUUUGCAUAUAAGAAAAUUAUUGCUUAAUCAUCAGCAUGUGAUUGUUUGCAUUUCCUGUAUCUAUGCUAAUUACAGUCAUAUAAAUGCUAUAGGAAUAACAGACUAGUAGCAGGUAACCCUGCGCUUUGCGCGGGGGUGGAGGUACGAUUUCUUAGCGUGCAGAAACAAAUAAAGGCUGAGCAAGAAUGGUAUCCAAAAUUCCAAAUCAACAAAAGAGAAAAAGGAGAGUGACAUAAUAGGGUAAGAUCAAUAAUUGAGGUGUUUUGGUGGCCGAUAGCCCAAAAUCAAGAAUCAGCUGCAAUUAGUAAAGCAGCUGACCUGAAAUUAGCAAACCUAAUUCAAAAGACUUAAAAAAAUUUCAGGUGAGAUUUACUUUUGUUAAGUUAAAUCUUGACCUCAAAUUGAGAGCCAAGGGAGUCAGUUAAACAUCAAAGUACCUAGAUUGGAAGAUAUAGCGAACACUAUGCCAAAAUGUAUGCAUUGUAGAAAGGUGCAGGUAAUCAGUUCAGACAUGCAUUUCAGCUAAACCCAAUCAUUGAAGCCAAAAUAGUCAUUUGGAGACAAACGGCAGGAUAGACAAUAUAGAUUCCUUAAUGUACAAUAUUGAGCAAAGUUUAGAAGGCCAUAGUUGGAUACAUAUUAUUUCUGAAGUAUCUUCCCAAUUUUUCUGCCUGUGCAAUCAAUCAAAAGCAUCCAGGAGAGAAACAGAGCAUUAUAAGUGUUACUCAAAAUAAACCACCAACUCAUCGGGAUGUAAGAAACAGAGUAUUCAACUUAUGAAACAGAUUAGUUUCUCUCCCCUCUUAAGCAGAAUUAGUGUAAGAAAAUAUAAGAUUAGAUUGUUGUACAGGCCUUAACUUAUUUAACAGAGCAAGAGGUGUUUCGUAGGGAUGUGGAAAAGUCGCUGACAUAUUUUAGUGACCUCUCUUUUCAUCAGAGGCUGCAAAAUUUUACCAUGAAAUUUGCUUAGUGCUAGCUAUUUUGUUAGCAUUAAAACUGUGCAGAAGCAGUUGUGACAGAAGAACUGCUAUUUUUAGCAUAUUGAUUGAUAUGGCACACUGUCAUGCGAGCAGAAAAUGGGGGAUAUGUAUUAGUAGCAGUAACACCAGAGUUGGCAUUGAAGAUUGUAACGGUAUUACCAAUCUAAAUCUCAGAUACUAAAUGAACAGGAAGCUGCAAAAUAUUGUCAGGAAACUUAACAUGGAAGAAUAUGUUAACUACAAUUUAAUAAAGCAUCAUUUGGUAGCCCUGCAGGAAAACACAGGAUCAACAUGGAACUAGUUUUUUUUUUCUCUAUGUCAAGAGAGUAAAUAAAAAUUUGGCAUUGCGGUAUUAGAGAGGUAAGAUGACCCUUUUUUCUUCUAUGAAACCUUGUAGCGGCCGCUGAAUGAGGAUGUUUCAGUAUAACAGAAAUUGAUUCUGCAAAUAAAUAGUGAAACUAAAGUUAGAAGGAAAUAAUAGGGAGGAGGUAAUGAUGAACUUCACAAAGCAAACAUUUGAAUGAUCUGGAUGCAUGCAAUCUUACAUGAACAUGAGUGACAAUAUUUUUUAAGCACCUGGAUUCAGUGAAUCAAAACGGCAUUAGUUUUUUUCUUGAGGAAAAAAUGGCAUUGGUUAAGCAUUCCAAAAUGCUCUGGAGUCCCAAGCGCGUGCAGAAGCAGCAAGGUGGAAAAUUUGGCUUCAAUCAAGCUAACCCGCUGCAGCUGCGACAACGCUUGGGCACAGGAUGAGAGAAAACUUACCGAUGUAGCACAAGGUCCAUAGGAGAUGAAAUCUGAUGCAGGGGCGUGAUGCUACCCUGACUUCACAAUGCGUGUGCAUGAUGUACUUGUUGGUUAUUGGGGAUGAUCAGACAUCCUUGCCGCUUUUGGCAGUGACCAGUUCGAUAUGGUAACAUCCAUUACCAUUUACACUUAAAUUGGAAACUCAAUGGUUCUUAAAUUGAAAACUCUAUGGUCCCUUGCGAUGCUGGAACAGUUGUAGAUGUGACAUAGUAUGUUAUCUUUUAUGUGAGUUGUUUGGGAAUCACCGAAUCAUUUAUCUAGGAUUUGCUACCAUUUUUUGUGUUGGUUCCUCUACCAGUUGUACAUAUUACUGUGCAAUAUGUAUCUUCCUACUUCUGUUUGAAUGAAUCAUGGGUUAAGCAUUCUUCAUAACUAGCAACAGGAUCUUGUUCAUUAGCUUUGCAAGAAGUUCCAUAGUUGAGAUCUCGAAGACCCUAGGUUGUUUAUGCUUGUUCUUAUGGGUACUGAAAGCUCAAACAAUGUAAUUUACAUGGUUAGGGAUUAAUUUAGUCCAAGCUUAUUAUUGAAGGCUUGGUGAUUUGUUGCUUAUUGCUUACUUUAACCACAUGCUGGUUGUCCUGUGCUUUGAUGGUGAGUACUAACACUCAUUCUUUUUCUGUUGUUUCAGGUAGCGGUUGAGCUUCUGGAAUCUGGAAGAGAGGUGGUAGAUUAGAGUAGACUCUGACAACCAUUGCUGUGCGUAUGACUUUGUUCUGUGUUCUUCUGUCUGUGAGAUGUACUUGUUGGGCCUCCUGCUCUCCGCGACAGUAGUAUUGUUGGGCUUGAUGUGAUCUGUAAGACUGUGACUUCCAACUUGCCUAGCCAAUUUUUUUUUUCUUCAGCAUGUAUAUCAAGGUGAUGUUAUUUGGCUUUGGCCACCUCUGAAGCUUUCAUGAAGGUAGUGAGACUAUUGGGCCUAUUUAGUUUGGGUUAAACCAUUACUGCUAGAGUGCUAGUGAGACUAUUUUGUUAUGGCCUUGUUUAGUUCCGAAAAGUGAAAACUUUUCGGAACUGUAGCAUUUUCGUUUGUUUGUGACAAAUAUUAUCCAAUCAUGGACUAACUAGGAUCAAAAGAUUCAUCUUAUGAUUUACAGCUAAACUGUGUAAUUAGUUUUUAUUUUCGUUUAUAUUUAUUGUUUCAUGCAUGUGACACAAGAUUCGAUGUGACGGGGAAUCUUGAAAACUUUUUGGUUUUCAGGAUGAACUAAACAAGGCCUAUGUUUUGUGAGAGCUCUACUGGUCCCCAUGGCAUCACAGUGGACAUCAACAAGGCUUUCCCGGAUGGAACCAACUUGACUUUAUUUUCAGCAACAGGACUUGGCUUCACAAGCACUGGAGAUUCAGAAACGUCGCUUUCAGAGAUUGAAGCGAAUCAGAAAGAAAAAAUGAAAGGGAGAUAGAAUGGCACUGGAGAAUGGACAUAUCAAUAUUUCACAUGAGUGAGAACAAACGAUUCGAAAUUGAGCUGAGACAUACAAGGAGCUAGAGCUAGUGCUUAAGCUAAGCUAAAAGGCCAGGGGAAUCAUGCAUGACCUGUGGUUGAUCGACGCAUCCAUUUUAAAGGUGUAAAACCAGUUGCUGAUAGCGCAAGCUAAACCUGAGAGAAGUUCAGUAUCUUGAAAAAACUGUCCUUUGUAAAAAGACCGAGUUCCUUUCCCUGCUAGAUGUGCACAGGUUGUGUUCGGUUAUCUUUGUAUUGCAAAAGUGCGUCAAUAUUUCAUACCGGAGAGAACUAAACAAAUUAAACCUCGUGUUUUAGUUGGGCAGGUUUGCCGCCGCUCUGCUCCACUUUUUUUUAGUUUCGCUAGGGAACAACUCUACAAACUUUGCUCCACAUCCAUCUUUUUUAUUCUCGCUCC